rnacentral:rRNA from 1 species
AAAUUGAAGAGUUUGAUCAUGGCUCAGAUUGAACGCUGGCGGCAGGCCUAACACAUGCAAGUCGAACGGUAACAGGAAGAAGCUUGCUUCUUUGCUGACGAGUGGCGGACGGGUGAGUAAUGUCUGGGAAACUGCCUGAUGGAGGGGGAUAACUACUGGAAACGGUAGCUAAUACCGCAUAACGUCGCAAGACCAAAGAGGGGGACCUUCGGGCCUCUUGCCAUCGGAUGUGCCCAGAUGGGAUUAGCUAGUAGGUGGGGUAACGGCUCACCUAGGCGACGAUCCCUAGCUGGUCUGAGAGGAUGACCAGCCACACUGGAACUGAGACACGGUCCAGACUCCUACGGGAGGCAGCAGUGGGGAAUAUUGCACAAUGGGCGCAAGCCUGAUGCAGCCAUGCCGCGUGUAUGAAGAAGGCCUUCGGGUUGUAAAGUACUUUCAGCGGGGAGGAAGGGAGUAAAGUUAAUACCU